rnacentral:rRNA from 1 species
UACGUAGGGGGCAAGCGUUGUCCGGAUUUACUGGGCGUAAAGAGCGUGUAGGCGGCCAAGCAGGUCCGUUGUGAAACUGGAGGCUUAACCUCCAGACGUCGACGGAAACCGCGUGGCUAGAGUCCGGAAGAGGAGAGUGGAAUUCCUGGUGUAGCGGUGAAAUGCGCAGAGUAUCAGGAAGAACACCCGUGGCUAAGGCGGCUCUCUAGUACGGUACUGACGCUGAGACGCGAAAGCGUGGGGAGCGAACAGG